rnacentral:rRNA from 1 species
AUACGUAGGGGGCGAGCGUUGUCCGGAAUGAUUGGGCGUAAAGGGCGCGUAGGCGGCGCGGUAAGUCUGGAGUGAAAGUCCUGCUUUCAAGGUGGGAAUUGCUUUGGAUACUGUCGGGCUUGAGUGCAGGAGAGGUAAGUGGAAUUCCCAGUGUAGCGGUGAAAUGCGUAGAGAUUGGGAGGAACACCAGUGGCGAAGGCGACUUACUGGACUGUAUCUGACGCUGAGGCGCGAAAGUGUGGGGAGCAAACAGGAUUAGAUACCCUGGUAGUCCACACUGUAAACGAUGAAUGCUAGGUGUAGGGGGUAUCGACCCCUUCUGUGCCGCAGUCAACACAAUAAGCAUUCCGCCUGGGGAGUACGGCCGCAAGGUUGAAACUCAAAGGAAUUGACGGGG